rnacentral:lncRNA from 1 species
AGGAAACUCACAUUAUUCUCUUCAUGGCCAGCAGAAGAAAUAGAAUUUCUUGUUCACUGCUCCCUACAGAGAUUUUACAGGACAGGAACAACUGUUGUCCCAGAAAGUUUAAACUCUUACUUCUUAGUAGUUGUAAAAUCGGGUCGAUGUCUGAUAGUGACACAAGUGGAUCAAGAGAGAAUAUAUGCACACUCCAAUGAAAUGCAGAAUUUUUCUUCUCUUUGUGAUGACUUUAUCACAAUAUCAUCAUUAAAAGAAAAGAAGGAUUUGACUAGAAGACUUUGGGAAAGAUCUCUUUAUUCAGCUGCUCAGAGAACUCCUCUUACUCAGAUGCCCAGAAGACCAAGACCUCAAACAGCUGCAGUAUUAUGUUAUUCGCUCAGGGACAGAAAAGCCUUUGGUGACCUGGAACAGAAAGGUAAUGAGGCACUACAUGUGAACCUAAUAGAAGGUGAAAAAGUUGCCGAGACAAAGAGAGGUGGAAGGAAACAAAAGGUGGCUUCAUCAGUUCCUCAGUUCCUGAAGAUAAGGGCGCUGGAACAAGGUGGCAUUUUUGGUUUGGCAGAAACAAUGGACAAGUUUUGUUGCCUUCAGUUUAGCUUG